rnacentral:SRP_RNA from 1 species
CCGUGCAGCCGGGGUGGCAGCGGUACCCUGUACCUGCAAUCCGCUAUAGCAGGGGUGAUAUUCUGUCUGAGAGCUUUGACUUGUAUAGCUGCCCUUUAUAAGCGGCGUUGAAGUCUGGGUCUUACGCAACGGAUAUCUGCGAACCGUGUCAGGUUGGGAACAAAGCAGCACUAAGCAGAACCAUCCGUGUGCCGUGAGGGCGCCUGGGCAGAGCUGGCUGUAAAGGUAACGUGUAUGGGUGUCGCCCGAAGCAGAAUGCACGG